ACUGGUACCUUGACGGUACCUCACCAGAAAGCCCCGGCUAAAUACGUGCCAGCAGCCGCGGUAAUACGUAGGGGGCAAGCGUUGUCCGGAAUUAUUGGGGGUAAAGCGCGCGCAGGCGGUCCCUUAAGUCUGAUGUGAAAGCCCACGGCUCAACCGUGGAGGGUCAUUGGAAACUGGGGGACUUGAGUGCAGAAGAGGAAAGUGGAAUUCCACGUGUAGCGGUGAAAUGCGUAGAGAUGUGGAGGAACACCAGUGGGGAAGGGGACUUUCUGGUCUGUAACUGACGCUGAGGCGCGAAAGCGUGGGGAGCAAACAGGAUUAGAUACCCUGGUAGUCCACGCCGUAAAACAUGAGUGAUAAC
rnacentral:rRNA from 1 species